rnacentral:rRNA from 1 species
AGAUUGAACGCUGGCGGCAGGCCUAACACAUGCAAGUCGAGCGGUAGAGAGGUGCUUGCACCUCUUGAGAGCGGCGGACGGGUGAGUAAAGCCUAGGAAUCUGCCUGGUAGUGGGGGGAUAACGCUCGGAAACGGACGCUAAUACCGCAUACGUCCUACGGGAGAAAGCAGGGGACCUUCGGGCCUUGCGCUAUCAGAUGAGCCUAGGUCGGAUUAGCUAGUUGGUGAGGUAAUGGCUCACCAAGGCGACGAUCCGUAACUGG